rnacentral:rRNA from 1 species
AGCAGCCGCGGUAAUUCCAGCUCCAAUAGCGUAUAUUAAAGUUGUUGCAGUUAAAAAGCUCGUAGUUGAAUUUCGGGGUUAGUAGGUUGGUCAUGCCUCUGGUAUGUACUGGUCUCACUGAUUCCUCCUUCCUGAUGAGCCGUAAUGCCAUUAAUUUGGUGUUGCGGGGAAUUUGGACUGUUACUUUGAAAAAAUUAGAGUGUUUAAAGCAAGCUAACGCUUGAAUACAUUAGCAUGGAAUAAUGAAAUAGGACGUUCGAUCCUAUUUUGUUGGUUUCUAGGAUUGACGUAAUGAUUAAUAGGGAUAGUUGGGGGCAUUAGUAUUCAAUUGUCAGAGGUGAAAUUCUUGGAUUUAUUGAAGACUAACUACUGCGAAAGCAUUUGCCAAGGAUGUUUUCAUUAAUCAAGAACGAAAGUUAGGGGAUCGAAGACGAUCAGAUACCGUCGUAGUCUUAACCAUAAACUAUGCCGACUAGGGAUCGGAUGAUGUUAAUUUUUUAAUGUCUCA